AUGUCUAGCCUGUAUGAUUGUGAUUGCCUCUACGGACUAAACCCUCCGGUCUAUAUAGACUUGGAGAAGGACUCGCAGCCGAACUAUGUUCGGUUCGAGUUAGAGGCUGAUGAUGGGGAAUUUUGCUUCCCACCCGCCACCCACUUCAUAGCUACCGUCGAGGACUUAACCGACGAGCUCGAUUAUGGCUCCGAAGACAUCGACGGUAUGGACGACGAUGCCGACAAGGAGCAAGGCCAAGACCCGCCAUUCACUGGACGUUGGACGGCCACCUCUUCGUACGACGUGUACAUGGUUGAUACUGUUGGGGAACGUAGUAAUUUCAAAAAAUUUCCUACGCACACGCAGGAUCAUGGUGAUGCAUAG
rnacentral:rRNA from 1 species